CUCUGCGAACUUGGCCACGAAUUCUAGCAGCGAACCCAAUAAACUACGUAUUGCAUCGACAUAAGUGAUGGAACCAGAAUCCGAAUCUACCACACGCCUCGUAGCCGAAGAGUGUAUGGUGGUGGUGCAUGACGGAAGGACGAGCAGCGACUAUACUGAGGUGGAGGAUAACAAGAUAUGGCCGACUCUCCUGAACUGGCAUCAGCCUCAUCAUCACAGGACCCUCCUCUAGAGCUGCCUCUCGUCCAGCAACAAAAGCACCAACGACGCCAAAGACCACACACGCCCACACAUGAGAGGAUGAGAACCAACAGCAAGCACCUGCAUAUGGCACAAUGACUGAAGUACGAGAAAUGGGAACCUACUGAAAUAUGAUCACUCCAAGGGGGAAACUAAAGCAGGGAUAGUAAUUAACAUGUUACAUAACAAUUACAACAGCAACAUUCAAUGGUGUAAGUAUAAAAUUGAAGAAACACACAAAAUGCAUCCAUCUCAUUAAUUUGAGUUCUACUAUUAGCUAUGCAAGAAACAUGAACUACAAAAUCUUUACUUAAAUAACAUGUAAGAGGGACAUGGUUUCUCGUGCAGUCACACAGAUCUAUGAGGUGCAUUUUGGGUGUUUCAGCUAAGGUGAACAUUUUAACCAGGAAGAUGAUAAAAAGUGCAUAAUGACAGAGAGAGAGAUCAAAAAUAUAUACAGGAAUAUGGCUGGAAAACCUGACCACUCAAGAGACCAAGGCAUAGAUGUGAAGAUAUCAGAAGAGAUUUUAAAAAGUGAGGUCUGAAAGGAUGAACUAGAUUUAUCUCUUUCCUGAGAAUGUAAAAUUGCAGAAUCUGUGAACACAGUAAUGAACAUUAAGGUCUCACAAAAGGAAAGAAAGUUGCUAAUUAUAUGAGUGACUGUUAGCUUGUCAAGAUGGAUUCUGCUCUAUGUAGUUAGUCAUGUGGCACAUCUGUACCUGUUGAAAUGUCACUCUGUGACUGGUUGAGUGAUGAGUACACGUAGCCCUGGAUUUGCGCAUAUUCAGAAUAACGCCAAUUUCGAAACCAGCAAGUCAAAAAGUGAAAAAAUAUAUUUUCAAUUCAAUUCA